CUAUACGUUGCCUAAUGGUUAGAGAGUCGGACUUGUAACCCGAAGGUUGUGGGUUCGAGUCUCAGGUCUGGCAGG